rnacentral:rRNA from 1 species
CGCCGCGUGUGUGAUGAAGGCCUUCGGGUUGUAAAGCACUGUCGGAGGGGAAGAAUGAAUGACGGUACCCUCCAAGAAAGCCCCGGCUAACUACGUGC